rnacentral:rRNA from 1 species
GACGAACGCUGGCGGCGUGCCUAAUACAUGCAAGUAGAACGCAGUUGCGAACGGGUGAGUAACGCGUAGGUAACUGCUUCAUAGCGGGGGUUAACUAUUGGAAACGAUAGCUAAUACCGCAUACUGUGAGAUGGACCUGAGUUGUAUUAGCUAGUUAGUGAGGUAACGGCUCACCAAGGCGACGAUACAUAGCCGACCUGAGAGGGUAAUCAGCCCCCCUGGGACUGAGACACGGCCCAGACUCCUCCUGUAUUCACCAUUAUAAAAUCUUCAGCAAUGUACGGAAGUCUGACCGAGCAACGCCGCGUGAGUGAAGAAGUUGUUCGGAUCUUAACGCUCUGUUGGUAGAGAAGGGGUACCUAACCAGAAAGGGACGGCUAACUACGUGCCAGCAGCCGCGGUAAUG